rnacentral:rRNA from 1 species
UACGGAGGGAGCUAGCGUUGUUCGGAAUUACUGGGCGUAAAGCGCACGUAGGCGGCUAUUCAAGUCGGGGGUGAAAGCCCGGGGCUCAACCCCGGAACUGCCCUCGAAACUAGAUAGCUAGAAUCUUGGAGAGGCGAGUGGAAUUCCGAGUGUAGAGGUGAAAUUCGUAGAUAUUCGGAAGAACACCAGUGGCGAAGGCGGCCCGCUGGACAUGUAUUGACGCUGAGGUGCGAAAGCGUGGGGAGCAAACAGG